rnacentral:rRNA from 1 species
AGUGAACGCUGGCGGUAGGCCUAACACAUGCAAGUCGAACGGCAGCACAGUAAGAGCUUGCUCUUACGGGUGGCGAGUGGCGGACGGGUGAGGAAUACAUCGGAAUCUACUUUUUCGUGGGGGAUAACGUAGGGAAACUUACGCUAAUACCGCAUACGACCUACGGGUGAAAGCAGGGGAUCUUCGGACCUUGCGCGAUUGAAUGAGCCGAUGUCGGAUUAGCUAGUUGGCGGGGUAAAGGCCCACCAAGGCGACGAUCCGUAGCUGGUCUGAGAGAAUGAUCAGCCACACUGGAACUGAGACACGGUCCAGACUCCUGCGGGAGGCAGCAGUGGGGAAUAUUGGACAAUGGGCGAAAGCCUGAUACAGCCAUACCGCGUGGGUGAAGAAGGCCUUCGGGUUGUAAAGCCCUUUUGUUGGGAAAGAAAAGCAGCAGGUUAAUACCCCGCGGUUCUGACGGUACCCAAAGAAUAAGCACCGGCUAACUUCGUG